rnacentral:rRNA from 1 species
GACGAACGCUGGCGGCGUGCUUAACACAUGCAAGUCGAACGGAAAGGCCCUGCUUUUGUGGGGUGCUCGAGUGGCGAACGGGUGAGUAACACGUGAGUAACCUGCCCUUGACUUUGGGAUAACUUCAGGAAACUGGGGCUAAUACCGGAUAGGAGCUCCUGCUGCAUGGUGGGGGUUGGAAAGUUUCGGCGGUUGGGGAUGGACUCGCGGCUUAUCAGCUUGUUGGUGGGGUAGUGGCUUACCAAGGCUUUGACGGGUAGCCCGCCUGAGAGGGUGACCGGCCACAUUGGGAAUCAGAUACGGCCCAGACCCCUACGGGAGGCAGCAGUGGGGAAUAAUGCACAAGGGGCGGAAGCCUGAAUCAGCAACGCCGCGUGCGGGAUGACGGCCUUCGGGCUGUAAACCGCUUUCGCCUGUGACGAAGCGUGAGUGACGGUAAUGGGUAAAGAAGCACCGGCUAACUACGUG